CAGCCGCCGCGGGAGUACAGAGGGUGCGAGCGUUAAUCGGAUUUACUGGGCGUAAAGCGUGCGUAGGCGGCUUUUUAAGUCGGAUGUGAAAUCCCUGAGCUUAACUUAGGAAUUGCAUUCGAUACUGGGAAGCUAGAGUAUGGGAGAGGAUGGUAGAAUUCCAGGUGUAGCGGUGAAAUGCGUAGAGAUCUGGAGGAAUACCGAUGGCGAAGGCAGCCAUCUGGCCUAAUACUGACGCUGAGGUACGAAAGCAUGGGGAGCAAACAGGAUUAGAUACCCCUGUAGUCCCUGUCUCUUAUAC
rnacentral:rRNA from 1 species